rnacentral:rRNA from 1 species
UAGUCCACGCCCUAAACGAUGAAUGUUAGUCGUCGGGUAGCUAGUCUAUUCGGUGAUGCAGCUAACGCAUUAAACAUUCCGCCUGGGGAGUACGGUCGCAAGAUUAAAACUCAAAGGAAUAGACGGGGACCCGCACAAGUGGUGGAGCAUGUGGUUUAAUUCGAAGAUACGCGAAGAACCUUACCUAGCCUUGACAUAUUAAAGAACACUUUAGAGAUAGAGUGGUGCCUUCGGGAGCUUUUAUACAGGUGCUGCACGGCUGUCGUCAGCUCGUGUCGUGAGAUGUUGGGUUAAGUCCCGCAACGAGCGCAACCCUCGUCACUAGUUACUAACGGUUCGGCCGAGGACUCUAGUGAGACUGCCUUCGCAAGGAGGAGGAAGGUGAGGACGACGUCAAGUCAUCACGGCCCUUACGGCUAGGGCAACACACGUGCUACAAUGGUCGGUACAGUGGGCAGCGAGACAGUGAUGUUGAGCGAAUCCCAAAAAGCCGGCCUCAGUUCGGAUUGU